ensembl:lncRNA
ACCGUGGGCAUGCGCCUCACGCCCCCACCCCGAAUGCCUCUCUUCGAUUGGUUGAGUUCUUGGCUCUGACCUGGACGGUGGCCAGAGCAGGACAAGUGGCUUCCAUACUUAACGGGAGCGCUGAUGCGGGAGGCCUGGAGAUUGUACAACCUCUAGUCCACCGGCGGCCAGACUUGGGGACGUGACGCUGCUGGUGGCGGCGGAGAGGAACCAGUAGCAGCGUCUCCAAGCCUGCUGAUGGCGCUGAGAUCCUGCUGCUUUCUGCCUCAGUGCUAAUUAAUAUCCUGGACGUUAUCAAGAAGAUAUGAGAGAUGACAUCAAAUUCUGGUGAAGAAGGAAGAGCUAGCACAUGGAGGGAUCAGUGUUUCACAGUAGUUUUGAAAGAGGUGCUACAGUGGAGGAAACAUCCAUAGACAUCGUGGACAUUAUUUAGCUCCUGGGAUGAGAAGAGAGCCUGCUGUUGCUGAACAGGCGAUGAGAAUGCAUUGUGCUUUUUUCUUUGGGAAUAUUUGAAUAUCUCCUCAAUGCUGAAACCAGAUCAAAAAUACAGAUUGUGAUAGCAAAGCGGUCUGAGUCAUGAGCUCAUGUGAGGACAGUCAUUGGCCCUUUCCUCUGUCAAAUUAGACUGUUGUGGUUAGGUAUAAAAGGUGGGGUUUGCAACAGUUUUUCCUAAAACUUUAUUUCGUAGUUCUGUAAAAAUGGUUAUAUUGGAUGCUUUCUAAGAAUAAUAUGCUUGUGAACUGAAAGAUACAUGCUGUAAAAAGUCAGGCAGUUCUAUGACAGUAGCAUAUAUAUAAGAUAUGGGGAUUUCCAAGAAGUAAAAUUUAGUUUUUUGGGUUUUUUUAAAUCAGUACUGGGGAUUGAAUUCAGGGCCUUUGCACUGAUCUAUAUCCCCAUACCUUUCUCUUUUUAACUUUUUACUUUGAGACAGGGUCUUAUCAAGUCCCCGAAUUGCCUACACUGUACUAAAACUUGCAAUCCUCCUGCCUCAGCCUCCCAGAAUACUGGGAUUACAGGUGUGCACCACCAGAUGGCCAAAUUUGACCAUAGAAUGGCAGUAAUCACUGAGCUCCCCUUAAAUAUAAACUACAAAGAUUCCAUUUAUAUUAAUUGGGCCUUAAAGUAAUGACUUCGUACAAAUAAAAACAACUAGUUAACAUCAUAGGCCUGAAUUUGAGGAAAGAAGGAAGAUAGGUUUGAAGAUGACAAAAUUUUUCCAACUUGGGGCCCAGAGGGAAAUUGUUCAAAGCAAAACAGCACUACUGUGUGGGGAACAGGGAAAGGGGACAUUACCUCUGCAGUGAGUCCUAGUCUUCUGCGAGCCACAGGAGCACAAGGUGAAUUAACUUAUUAUUACAGGAAAGGUAGACAAAAUGAGACUGAGAAGAAGCUGAGCUUUGGGCCUGAUCAGUGCUGCUCUGGGCAGCAAAGACAAAAGCCCCUGAGCUUGCAGCACCUUUUAUUCAGUCCAUCGGGAGAAACAGAUGUAACAGAUGACUGGAGAGCAGGUGGAAUUCCUAGAUCAAGGAGGAGCUAUGCAGAUGAAGAUUUUGUUCCUCCCAGGGUGUCUUCUGCUGCUGUAAUCUGGUCCUGGAGCAUCACAGCAUCACCAGAUCAUUGAGGUCUCAGUUGUGACCGAAGGCCAAAAUGGAAUUAUGUCUCAAAAUGCCAUAGCUGGCCUGUGGGCAUGAGAACUAGGCCUAAUCAAAUGAUUUUUCUCCAAUAUUAUGUAGUAUUGCUCCCGACACUACUGAAACAUUUUCACCAAACAAUAUUCACCCUUACUAUAUUACCUGCAUACUUUAGGCCCCUCCCUCCCCAGUUCUGGUAGGGACUGAUUCCAUGAACCAUAAAAUAAGUGCAGUGAUCUGCACUUUGAAGAAACCAUCAGUAGGGGGAUCCACAGUUCUAUACCACCCCAAAGUGAUGGUGACUUGCUAAUUGGCAAAGCAAAAAUACACUCACAAUUCCGUGUGAGUAGGCAAUAUAAUCAAAAAGCUGUACUUGGCCUAGAAUUGGGAGAUACUACAAGACUGUAGGAAAGUCACUUCAUUGUUCCAGCGUGAUUCCAGUUUCCUCCUUGUUGAAGUACUGUAAUGAAACCUUUUCCGAAUGUUUAUCUUUGUAAAAAUACACUCAAGUUAUAGGUUUCUUAUUCCAGCCUGAAUAAUCUUAUACAUAUUAUGAAAUAAUAUCAGGAUUUUAACUUAAAAUCAAUCUGGUAUUCAAAAUAUACCCUGAACCCUGUCAGUAAUUAUUAACAAUGAAACUGACAGGUUUAAAAGUUAGGAAACCUCUCGGUUCCUCUAGGAAGCCACAGUAAAAACCCAUCACACUUCCCACCUUUAACUUUUGCUCUCUCAGAUUCCAUAUUUGAACAAUUCUUAGCUCUUGUCCAGCAAUGCUAAGGGAAAGAAAGAUUAAAUUAUCUGCGAAUUAUAUCACAUCGAUGUCUACAUUUUAAGCAUUUUUCCUACCUUGUUGUGGUGAUCUAUACCCCAUUAAACAGAAUUCCCCUGUCCAAGAGACAAAUUGGUAUCACAAAUCACCCAGAAUUAAAGAAAUCACAAAUCACCCAGAAUUUACAGGAAAACCUAUGAUUUCAACGUCAUGCGUUUUUCUCAGUGAAUCCAUUUUAGUGGCUGGUGGUGAGAAAGUUAAAUAGUAAUAGUUUAGUAGUAAUUACUUGCCCUAUCUGUCUAAAAAGGAGGAGGACAACCUGAAGAUUGAAUGUAUAACUCACAGUUUAAGUGUGGAAAAUUGCACAAUCUUUCAGUUUGUAUACCAUUGAUAAAUUCAAAUUUGAAGCCCACCGAUAUAGUUGACUCCUCUAGAAAAGAUGGAACUCUCCAUAGCUAUCUUCCAGUGUUUGGUGGCUGUGACUGGCUAUGACUAGCCAUGGGUAAAGGUCAGGGAGUUUAGAGCUAUUCUCAAAUAGUACAAUCAUAGGGAAUUAAUUCUUGCUUCAAUGUUAGUCCAAAGACUUUUCGUUGUGUUACCAUCUCUCUGUUGGUAACUUUAAGGCCUACUGUGCCAGUUUGGCCAUAAGAUCCCCAUUUACACAUACCAGGUUAUAUCUUUGCUCACAAUUUAAACACUAGUGAAGAUCUCUUGUCCUAGCUACUCUUCUCACUGCUGAGACAAAAUAUCCGACACCUAAAGUUAAAGGAGGAAAGUUUUAUUAGCUCACAGUUCAUAGUUGGCUUGCUCCAAGGCAGGGUGACAUGGUACAGGGCCAUCACAGAGGAGAAACACUUCAUGGCAGGCAGAAGGCAGCAAGGCAGCAAAAGCAAACAAGGCUCUUUCUGUCCCAUAUUAUCUUAUCCACUUGCAAGGCAGGCACCAGAACCACUGAGCUAAAUCCCCAGCCCAAUUUUUCCUACUCUUAACCUCUGUUGUUCCUAGAAUUCAUUCUUCGAUUUUAGAGAACACAAACUCACAUUUUGGAUAUCUAGCAGGUUGAGAGUUAUAAUAUUUUCCAUGUUUAGAUUAUUUUUGCCUGUUUGGAUUGCUUGCUACCUUGUAUCAUUUUUGGAUUACUUGGUGCCCUAUAUCAGACCUCUGACCACACAAGGCUUUGGGGGGACAUUAGACACAAGCCAUAGCAUCUCUGUUCACUGGUUUGAAGGCAGGAAAAUGCUACACAAAAAAGCGGGAAUGACAAGCCUUGAAAUGGUGGCACAAGGAUUAUAGAGUGUCAUUGUGUUUUAAAGGAGUUGUGUUGAAAGACCUUUAACAUUUCCAGUAACUAGUUUGAGCAUGCAGAAUUUGAAACAUAAAAAGGCUGAACUUCACAGGCCUCAAAGAGGAAAACACACACUUUUUACAGUUGGUUCUGAGUCUGCCUCUGGACACACGAUUGUCUUGCUCACGGCACCACUUGCUUUUCUGAGUACCGCUCUCGUCAGUGUUGAUCUUGGCAGCUUGGGACACCAAGGUCUCCUCUAGCAGGUGACUAACCUCCCUGUGUUCCUCAAACACUGGGGCUGUCACAAGUGCUUUGCGUACAUAGUCUCAGCCUCAAGACAACCCAUGAGGGAGAAAUGAGCUCAGAAGAAACUGGGCUCCAAGAUGCUUUGAUUAACCAUGUAACCUUCAUGAAUAACAGUCCCAUGGCAGUCCAGAGCAGCCGAUCAGUUCUGGUCCCUCCUGGCUGCUCUCUGCCCUUCCUCCCUGCACAGCUCUUCCGGAAGUUCCUGUCAGGAUGGUUCAGGAAGUUCACUGACUAGAAGUUCCUGUCAGUGACCACGAAGGCAGAAUUUGUACCACUGUUAGAGUUGGGAGUCCUUUAUAUUGUGGUACCACUGCACUUUGUUAGUUCUUUUUCUACUCUCUG